rnacentral:rRNA from 1 species
UACGUAGGGGGCUAGCGUUGUCCGGAUUUAUUGGGCGUAAAGAGCGUGUAGGCGGCCAGGUAGGUCCGGUGUGAAAACUCGAGGCUCAACCUCGAGCUGUCGGUGGAAACUGUCUGGCUAGAGUCCGGAAGAGGAGAGUGGAAUUCCUGGUGUAGCGGUGAAAUGCGCAGAUAUCAGGAAGAACACCUAUGGCGAAGGCAGCUCUCUGGGACGGUACUGACGCUGAGACGCGAAAGCGUGGGGAGCGAACAGG